rnacentral:lncRNA from 1 species
AUUGGAGGAACUAUAUCUUUCAAUAUUAUGGGGCAUUAAGAGUCUUUCUCCCAUGUUGGAUGAGUCAUUGAAUAAACUUAAAAUUUUGAAGGUUGACAACUGUAUACAUCUCAUGUAUAUUCCACCUCUCAAAUUACCUUCAUUGGAGGAACUCAAUCUUAAAGCUUUAUUCAAUAUUGAGAGUCUUUCUCCCAUGUUGAAUGAGUCAUUGGAUAAACUUAAAAUUUUGAAGGUCUUAGGUUGUCGUCAUCUCAAAUAUAUUCCACCUCUCAAAUUACCUUCAUUGGAGGAACUCAAUCUUCAAGGUUUAUCCCGUAUUGAGAGUCUUUCUCCCAUGUUGAAUGAGACAUUGGAUAAACUUAAAAUUUUGACGGUCUUGGGUUGUCGUUGUCUCAAAUAUAUUCCACCUCUCAAAUUACCUUCAUUGGAGGAACUCUAUCUUAUAGAAUUAUGGAGCAUUAAGAGCCUUCCUCCCAUGUUGGAUGAGUCAUUGGAUAAACUUAAAAUUUUGAGGUUCAUUUAUUGUCAAGAGAUCGAAACGGUUCCACCUCUCAAAUUAGCUU